CAACUAAGUCCCUGCGUGCCCAGAUCACCCAACAACAGCAGCUCCUGCGAACGUCAGUGGGACAGCACAGCACACAGAGUGAUCGAAUUGUGCUUUAUUUGUUCAGUAAUGUCUGAGGAAGUGACUUACGCUACCCUCAAAUUUCCAAAUCCUUCUCAGUCAACGAAACUUCAGGAGAGCUGCAGUCUCAAGAGAACAGAUAACCAUGAAAUGCCAGAAUUGGAGCUGAAUAAUGCAGCUGAAAAUGGACCAACAAGCAUUGAGAGCACAGCUGAGUUGCCAGAAAGCAGAGCUGUGAGAGGCCUCCCCGGAGGACAUUCUGUUCCAUUGAAAGUGUGGGGCCCUGUUGCUUUCAUUUUGCUAAUGCUGAACCUGGUAGUGCUGGCUGGACUGGGAACCCUGAUUGUAAUGAAUUACCAUGAACUCUUCUCCAGCAACAGAACAACUUCUGACAGGCAACAAAACAUAAUAGAACAGCUGGAGAGAAAUGUAAUAUUAUACAGGGAUAUGUAUAAAAAUAUCUCAAAUGAGCACGUUGCUUUCAAAAACAUGUUAGAAAAUACAUUAAAAUUGUGGAAAAAAAUUACCUCAAAAUACGAUGAAGGUGUAAAGAAGAAGGAAAAUGACCUCAGAUUCUGCUCAUGUUCAGAGUCAUGCAUAUGGCACGGAGAUAGUGGGAAGAAUUUCUCCUCCCUGAUAUGUGACAAUGAGAAAAAUGGCAAUAGAACUCAGCUGUUCAUUAGCUGUCUUCCAUCACCUGUCUCCUGGAUGCAACUGAAUUGUACAUUACCCAAGAAAAAUAAGAUGACAGAAAAUGUUUCAAAAUUUUGCAUUUUACCUGUUUGGCAGCCUUGUAAAUGUUUCAAGUGCUGAAACAGUGAAGUAGGCAAUAUUCAAUGGAAAUGAAAUAAUUGGAAAAUCUGAUGACUCCAGUAGUUAAUAUUUGUGGAAACAAACUAGAUAUGCCACAUUUUUUAUCCUAGAUAUGAAAUAUUUUCUACAGUUCCUUUCACGUGAAGUUUUUUAGCUGGUAUCACUUCUUUAUCACAACUACUUUUCUUAUUUAUGCUAAUAAAUUUCUUGGAUAAGUUUCUCUGAAAUAAUAGCAGUGUCAACAUUUCUAUGGUCAGCAUUUGUACAGUGUGGUAAAAUUUUGUAGUGCUUGCUCUGGAGUUUGCAAUGUGUAUAUAUAAGGCUCUGAGCAUCUAUUCUGACCCCAAAAAAGCUAGCUUUUCUGCCUUCUGAAAACCGUUGUUAUUCACCACCAAAAUCUUUAGAAACUAAAUACUCACUAAACAUUUCCUUUACCUUCUUGCUUUAAUUGAAAUCCACUUCUCCUUGUAGGUUUCCCACAGAUAUCCCAAGUGUUGUUGACUUUGUUUACCACAUUCCAUGUACUAGUGAACCCGAAGGUUCUCUUUUUUCUGCAAUCAUUUUCCAGAUCAUCUUUCCUCCCCCCACCCCCCGCCAUCUCUAAAAAUUUCUAAUGCUGACUCUUGACAUCAGACUACUACAACCAUUACACAACACUGACUGUUUCAGUCAUCUUCCAACUCGUGGUCACUUCCCUGAUUCCUUAAAAAUUUCAGCUCACUGUUAAUCUCUCUAGCACUAACACUCUCCUAAUAUUUAGUGUUUUGUCUACAUAGAGUCUAUGUCAUAGACCAUCCUUCCAACAUUCUAGACACUUAAUUA